rnacentral:lncRNA from 1 species
UUUCUACUCAAACAAAGAGAUUUUCCUCCAGGAGUUGAUCUCUAAUGCUUCUGAUGCCCUGGACAAGAUUCGGUAUGAGAGCCUGACUGACCCUUCCAAGUUGGACAGCGGGAAAGAUCUGAAGGUUGACAUCAUCCCCAACCCUCAGGAACACAUGCUGACUUUGGUGGACACAGGCAUUGGCAUGACCAAGGCUGACCUCAUAAAUAACUUGGGAACCAUUGCUAAGUCUGGUACAAAGGCAUUCAUGGAGGCUCUCCAGGCUGGUGCAGACAUCUCCAUGAUUGGGCAGUUUGGUGUCAGCUUCUACUCUGCCUACUGGUGGCAGAGAAAGUGGUUGUGAUCACGAAGCACAACGAUGAUGAGCAGUAUGCCUGGGAGUCUUCUGCUGGUGGAUCCUUCACCGUCCACGCAGACCAUGGUGAGCCCAUUGGCUGGGGUACCAAAGUGAUCCUUCACCCCAAAGAAGACCAGACAGAGUACUUAGAGGAGAGGAGGGUCAAGGAAGUGGUGAAGAAACACUCGCAGUUCAUAGGCUAUCCCAUCACCCUCUACCUGGAGAAGGAGCGAGAGAAGGAGAUCAGUGAUGAUGAGGCAGAGGAAGAGAAAGGGGAGAAGGAGGAGGAAGAUAAGGAGGAUGAGGAGAAGCCUAAGAUUGAGGAUGUGGGAUCUGACAAGGAGGAUGACAGCGGCAAAGAUAAGAAAAAGAAAACAAAGAAGAUAAAGGAGAAGUACAUUGGCCAGGAAGAGCUGAAUAAGACGAAGCCCAUCUGGACCAGAAAUCCUGAUGACAUCACUCAAGAGGAAUAUGGUGAAUUCUAUAAGAGCCUCACCGAUGCCUGGGAAGACUACUUGGCAGUCAAGCACUUCUCUGUAGAAGGGCAGUUGGAAUUCAAGGCAUUGCUCUUCAUUCCCUGGCGAGCUCCCUUUGACCUAUUUGAAAACAAGAAGAAGAA